rnacentral:tRNA from 1 species
UCCCUGGUGGCUCAGAUGGUAAAGAAUCUGCCUGCAAUGCAGGAGAUUCAGGUUCGAUUCCUGGGUUGGAAA